rnacentral:rRNA from 1 species
UAAUAGCGUAUAUUAAUGUUGUUGCAGUUAAAAGCUCGUAGUUGGAUUUUGGUGUUUGACAAAUGGUCUGCCUUCGGGUUUGCACUGUUUGUUGGCACUUCUUUUCUGGGGAACUCACUGCUCUUAAUUGAGGGGUGCUGUAACGCAGAUCGUUUACUUUGAAAAAUUAGAGUGUUCAAAGCAGGCCAACGCAUUGAAUACAUUAGCAUGGAAUAAUGGAAUAGGACUUUGGUCUUAUUUUGUUGGUUUCUAAGGCCGAGGUAAUGAUUAAUAGGGAUAGUUGGGGGCGUUAUAUUCGUUCGUCAGAGGUGAAUUACUUGGUAUUUACGGUAAGGAUAAACUAACUGCGAAAGACAUUCGCCAACGGAAGUGUUUUCUAUUAAUUCAAGAACGAAAGUUAAGGGGAGUCGAAGACGAUCAGAUACC